rnacentral:tRNA from 1 species
AGAGGCUUAGGCUAACUCAGACCCAGGGCCUUCAAAGCCCUAAGUGGAAGUGAAAAUCUUUCAGCCUCUG